UGGGGAAUCUUGCACAAUGGACGAAAGUCUGAUGCAGCGAUUUCGCGUGAAGGAUGAAGCAUUACGGUGUGUAAACUUCUUUUUUGGUGGAAGACGAAUGACGGUACACCAAGAAUAAGGGACGGCUAACUACGUGCCAGCAGCCGCGGUAAUACGUAGGUCCCAAGCGUUAUCCGGAUUUACUGGGCGUAAAGUGUCCGUAGCCGGAUGUAUAAGUCUGUUUUCAAAUACUCCGACUCAAUCGGAGAAAGGGAAUAGAUACUGUAUAUCUAGAGAAUAUUGGAGGUUAGUGGAAUUUCCGGUGGAGUGGUGAAAUGCGUUGAUAUCGGAAAGAACGCCAAAAGCGAAAGCAGCUAACUAUGAUAUUUCUGACGGUGAUGGACGAAAGCUUGAGUAGCAAACGGG
rnacentral:rRNA from 1 species